AUUGAACGCUGGCGGCAGGCCUAACACAUGCAAGUCGAACGAGUGGCGGACGGGUGAGUAAUGUCUGGGCAACGGCCUGAUGGAUGGGGAUAACUACUGGAAACGGUAGCUAAUACCGCAUACCAUCAGAUGUGCCCAGAUGGGAUUAGCUGGUUGGUGGGGUAACGGCUCACCAGGGCGACGAUCCCUAGCUGGUCUGAGAGGAUUACAAGCCACACUGGAACGGAGACACGGUCCAGACGCUGACGGGAGGCAGCAGUGGGGAAUAUUGCACAAUGGGCGCAAGCCUGAUGCAGCCAUGCCGCGUGUAUGAAGAAGGCCUUCGGGUUGGAAAGUACUUUCAGCGGGGAGGCGUUACCAACAGAAGAAGCACCGGCUAACUCCGUGCCAGCAGCCGCGGUAAUUC
rnacentral:rRNA from 1 species